GCUGUAGCUCAGUGCUACAGCGCUUGCCUAGCAUGUGUGAGGCACUGGGUUCAAAUCUCAGCAUUGCA
rnacentral:tRNA from 1 species